rnacentral:tRNA from 1 species
GCCCCGAUAGCUCAAUUGGAUAGAGCAUCGGCCUUCUAAGCCGAGGGUUCCAGGUUCGAAUCCUGGUCGGGGUG